UCGUCAGGUGGGAUAAUCCUUACCUGUUCCUCCGUUGGAGGGCAGAUUAGAACAUGAUGAUUGGAGAAUGCAUGAAACGUGAUUAACGUCUCUGCGUAAUCGGGACUUGCAACACCCCGAUUGCUCCUAUCUGAU
rnacentral:snoRNA from 1 species